rnacentral:pre_miRNA from 1 species
AUCACCUGGGAAUCUUGUUAAAAUGCAGAUUCUGAUUCACUAGGCCUGAAAUGGGCCUAAGAUUCUGCAUUUCUAAGAAGCUUCCAGGUAAUGACAA